UCCUUCCUUCCUUUCUUCCUUUUUUCCUUCUUUCCUUCCAUUUAGCAAUUAUUUGUGACUUUCUACUUAAGUGUCAGGCACUGUUCUAGGCAAUGUUGACUUAUUAAUGCACAGCAGAGAUUUUUUAAAAAAAGCUUUUUCCUUCAUUCUGGUGGGAGAAAAAAAUCAAUAAAUAAUAAUUCAUUAUUAUAUAGCAUGCCAAAGGGUGAAGAGUGCUAUGGGAAAAUCUGGAAAUAGUGAGAGUGCUAGGGUUGAGGUGGAGGAUGGAGUUGGAUUACAUAGGGUAGAGCUCAUUGAGAAGGUGACUUUUGGCAAAGACAAGAAAGCCAAGGAGUUAUCCAUGAGAUACCUAGAGGAAGAACAUUCCAGCUAGUUAACUCAUUUGAAUGAGUAUGGCCCAUCUCUCUCUCGGUGAGAUCAGAAGGGCUUCCCUGGAC
rnacentral:lncRNA from 1 species